rnacentral:rRNA from 1 species
UACGGGGGGGGGCAAGCGUUGUUCGGAAUUACUGGGCGUAAAGGGCUCGUAGGUGGCCAACUAAGUCAGACGUGAAAUCCCUCGGCUUAACCGGGGAACUGCGUCUGAUACUGGAUGGCUUGAGUUUGGGAGAGGGAUGCGGAAUUCCAGGUGUAGCGGUGAAAUGCGUAGAUAUCUGGAGGAACACCGGUGGCGAAGGCGGUUCUCUGGGCCAUUACUGACGCUGAGGAGCGAAAGCGUGGGGAGCGAACAGG